rnacentral:tRNA from 1 species
AAACCGAUAAGUUAAUGAAACUGUGGGGUUCAUGUCUCCAUAUUACACAUUUGUGUUUGGUUGA